rnacentral:rRNA from 1 species
ACACGACUACAUUAGAUACCCGCGUAGUCCCAGCUGUAAACUAUGUGCGUUAGGUGUGUCAGUGACCACGUGUCACUGAGGUGCCGUAGGGAAGCCGUGAAGCGAGCCACCUGGGAAGUACGGCCGCAAGGCUGAAACUUAAAGGAAUUGGCGGGGAGCACAACAACGGGUGGAGCUUGCGGUUUAAUUGGAUUCAACGCCGGAAAUCUUACCGGGACCGACAGCAACAUGAAGGCCAAGCUGAAGACUUUGCCGGAUUAGCUG